AGUCACGCUGUAAACGAUGUCGAUUUGGAGGUUGUUCCCUUGAGGAGUGGCUUCCGGAGCUAACGCGUUAAAUCGACCGCCUGGGGAGUACGGCCGCAAGGUUAAAACUCAAAUGAAUUGACGGGGGCCCGCACAAGCGGUGGAGCAUGUGGUUUAAUUCGAUGCAACGCGAAGAACCUUACCUACUCUUGACAUCCAGAGAAUUUAGCAGAGAUGCUUUAGUGCCUUCGGGAACUCUGAGACAGGUGCUGCAUGGCUGUCGUCAGCUCGUGUUGUGAAAUGUUGGGUUAAGUCCCGCAACGAGCGCAACCCUUAUCCUUUGUUGCCAGCACGUUAUGGUGGGAACUCAAAGGAGACUGCCGGUGAUAAACCGGAGGAAGGUGGGGAUGACGUCAAGUCAUCAUGGCCAUUACGAGUAGGGCUACACACGUGCUACAAUGGCGUAUACAAAGAGAAGCGACCUCGCGAGAGCAAGCGGAACUCAUAAAGUACGUCGUAGUCCGGAUUGGAGUCUGCAACUCGACUCCAUGAAGUCGGAAUCGCUAGUAAUCGUAGAUCAGAAUGCUACGGUGAAUACGUUCCCGGGCCUUGUACACACCGCCCGUCACACCAUGGGAGUGGGUUGCAAAAGAAGUAGGUAGCUUAACCUUCGGGAGGGCGCUUACCACUUUGUGAUUCAUGACUGGGGUGAAGUCGUAACAAGGUAACCA
rnacentral:rRNA from 1 species